AAAAAAAAUUCGAAUAUUAGAGCCCAAAUAAUGAAAAAAAAUUCGAGCCCAAACAUUUCAGCCCAAAAACUCAAAUUUCGGCCCAUCUUCGCCUCAAUCUCUGGUCGGCAGGACAAUUCCCAACAACAACUGAUUCUCUCUGUGCUUAGAUUCACUCUGGGUUUUCCUGGCUUGGACGAAUCCUAUUUACCUAAAUGGAUCGGGUAAGGGAUUGGCUCCCUCAUAUUGAACCACAUGCUUAGAUCCGUCUCUGUCACCACUUCGCAGCCGUUGAUGUUAACGCAAGGUGAAUUAUCUAUACUCGGAUAUUGGAAUUUGCCAGAUGGCCUAUCAAAAAGGUGAUGUACUUGAUUGGUUUAAAAGUAAUAUAGAACAAACUGGUCUGUCUGAUUCAACAGACACCCUCUAUUUCCCUCAAACUGCAGAUUCUGGAAGAUGCGUCAUCAAUGUUUCUGGAUCCAAACCCAACUGCCAAUGAGACAAGCAUGAGAUAUGCAUAUAGCGAAAAAGAUAAGAGCCUGGAUAAGAGCCGUUUCAAACAAAUUUAGAAGGAAGAACUAAGAACAUGCAUGUAACUUACCUACAUUCUGUUAAUUUGCUUUACAUUGUUCACUGAGCUAUAAAAGUAAGUUGAUAAUAGAGCAUGAUAUUUAGAUGC